rnacentral:rRNA from 1 species
UACGCCCGAUCUCGUCCGAUCUCGGAAGCUAUACAGGGUCGGGCCUGAUUAGUACUUGAAUGGGAGACUUCCUGGAAUACCAGGUGCUGUAGGCUUUGCUUACGGCCAUACCAGCCUG